AGCCUUUUGUGUUGUACUUGGUUC
rnacentral:siRNA from 1 species